rnacentral:tRNA from 1 species
CAAUAAGUAGCUCAGUUGGUAGAACAUGAGACUCUUAAUAUCAAGGUCGUGGGUUCAUGCCCCAAGUUGGGUG